UUCACUUUUACCAGUGUCAUAUCUGUGUGUGUUUGCACAAGUGCUUUAACUACCAGCAAUGUAAGAAAAAUCUGUGUACUAAAAAUGUGAAAAUAGUUUCCUGGUUUGUGUUUUCAUUCUCCCAAUAUAGGUUUUGGAUGACAAGCUUGUAUUUGCAAAUGUACACACCCUGUGGGAGGUGAUCUGUACAUACGCUGAGAUACUGUACAUAAAAUUGCCUCUGAAUCCCAAUCAUCUGAAAACCGUGUCCUCAGCCUUUGAUACCUUCAGCUGUUUUAUGAAAGUCCUCCAAGUGGAUGAAAGUGUCAACAACCGGAACAAGAGUUUUUCAUUGCCCUAUUUGAGAAGAGCUGCGUGAACGACUUUUAUAUUCAGGAUAGAGAUACAUUCAUCAAUCCAACCACCAGGAGCCGCACUUGCAACUUCAGCCUCCAUCAGAGGACCUCAGCUGCCCCAGCGAACAGGGCCUUCUGUACAGGGAAUGUGCUCCUCCUCGAAGCAUAGACAAGAAGCAGCCCUUAGAUCUCAUCAGGAAAUUCUACGGAGAGAAGGUCGGAAUCUACUUUGCUUGGGCUGGGCUAUUACAUUCAGAUGCUCC